AUCUUUAAAAUGUUUGCUUUCAGUAAAGAAAUUGCUUGUUUAAUAAUAUUAGUUUUAACAGCUGUGUCCGCUGAACAAGAUCUUAUUCAAAAAAGAUGUGGUGGAUUAAUGUCAAUGUGUGGAGAACUAGUGGAGGAUUCUAAAUGCUGUGAUGGAUUUGUUUGUGUUUCAACAGAUUGGGAAGAUGUUUGGAUUUGCUUACCGCCCUCUACUUGAAGAAAAAAUUGAAUUUUUUAAAAUAUAUUUAAAUUUUCAACAUCUGCUGUAUAGUACUUUUAAUUCAUAUAAAUUUAGUUAAUAUUAUUAUUUAAAAAAUAAAUAAAUUAUAUUA